GAUACCAAUCACAUGCUGUAUAAAUCAUUCAUUCAUUUUUGUUUGAUCAAGGACAGCACAAAAUACAAUGUUACAUUAUUUUAAAAAAGCAGCCGUUGUUGCUWAUUUUCAAACCCAGUCCUUGGUUGGACUUUUAAAAUAGAAACAGUCCCCUCACUCUCUCUCUCUCUCACUCUCUCUUUGUUUGUUUGAUUCUUACAGGUUCCAGGAAGUGGUGAGGCUCCAGGAAGGGUAGAAUCCAAAGAUCCGUAGUGGCAAAAAUCCAAAGAGCUGKCCGUGGGCACAAAACGUCUUGACAUGGGAACCUUGAAAAAAGGAGGUGUGAUGCUUCAGCACCGACCGAACUGUCACGUGAUCCUUAUAAAGCCCUGGAGCUCAUUAGUGGAACASUCAACAGGUUAAUAAAAGCUGUGAUUUACGUUUGGAGAAGGCAAGCCUCGAUCCCCAGUUUACUCCUCGGAACACCUGACUUUGAGAUUUGGGGCUCUACAUUUUAUUGGGCAAAGUAAAACUGUUUAUGUUCAAAAGAUCUUGGAAAAAAAAAUGAACCAUCUCCUCCUUAUAAUGAACAUUAUCUUCUUCGGAUUCCCCCAAACCAUGAAAUCUUGUAACUGAUUGUUGACAGAAAGGAAAGGGGGUCUUGCAAAUCCAGUGUUAAACAAGCAAUAAAAUAUCCAAGAAUGUAUUCACAGACAUCUUAUUGAAUUACUCUAUUUCCAAGCUGAACCCUCAAAACCCACCUGGUGCUUCUCAGCUGAGCAUCAAACAGCAGCCCCCACUCAGUAAAACCUCACUCACUUUAAAGACCUACAUAAAUUCAGAGCUCCGGGUUGCGUUCCAAGAGAAACAUUCCUCGUUUACGGAUAUCAGAGGAUCUUUGGGAGAGUUGUGGGUUACGACUGUCAGGUCCGUUCCCAAAACAUCAUACCUAAGUGAGGUCGUUUUGUCCAAUCACCCCCUUGAUGUAAAAUGCCUCUGAGGCUUUUAAUAACUUUAUUACCCUGUAUAUCAUGGCCAAGCCUCAGUCUUGUGCUUGAAUUUGUGGGAGCUUUGAAGCUCUUUUGUGAGCUGCUGCUGAGCAGCUUCUCCAGUCUCUCAUCAUUCAUUUGACCCACAGCCAUUGCUGGAUCUGUCUUUUCUCUCCCUUCUCUUUGUUUCCCUGCCUGUCUUCAUUAAACUUGUCAAGUUCCUGCUGCAGCAAUGCCAGCCCUGUAUUAUGCUCUGCUUUUCUCAUCACCAUGCCCUUCACUUGCCUGGAAACUGAGUAUGACAAAGACAUUUGAAGAAGCAGAGAACACCUUCUGAUACAAAGUUAACAACGAACCUCAUUAUGUGAAGUACAUAAAAAGUUUUAUGGCAAAAGUAAGGGGCAAUUAGCACAUGCUGUUAGAUAAAUUAACACUUUCCUAAAGUGGUGCAAGUUGUAAGCGAGAGUGGUUGGAAGAACAAUUACAGGGCUGAUCUUCUUCCCAYAGCUACAUGAAAAUGGGUAAAAACAAAUGAUUACAGACCACAGAAAGUAAAAAAUCUAUGACUGUGGCUGUACAGUGGUAUGGGUGGUUAGGUCUGGUGCCUCACAACAAGAAAGUCCUGGGUUUCACUUUCUGCUAGGUUCCAUGUUCUCCUUGUAUAAGUAUGACUUCGGGUUUUUCAGUUUAUAGUCUAAAACAAUUCAUGUUAAGUUCGACAAUUCUAAAGACCAUAGAUGUGAAUAGGGCUGCUCAGCUAUGGAACAAAAUCAGUAUCAUAAUUACUGAACACAAAUAUGUGAACACCCUUGAUUUUCUUGAUGCUUUCUCAGUGAAGUCUCUUUUUUUUACCCAACAAUGUAUUUGAUCAUAUGAGGCUAUUGUGAAGUAUGAAAAACACAAACUAUUAAACAUAAUCAGAAUAGUUUAUUACAUCAUAGUCUUUAUGGAAUCUGGUUAGAUUUUUACAAAAUCUGAUUUUAUCUUUAUGAUGUAAUGUGUUUUUUUUCCUAAAUGACAGACAAAAAUAUUUCAGUAAGUAGAUGKAAAGACAAC